rnacentral:rRNA from 1 species
AUCUGACUCUAGUACGAGAGGACCGAGUUGGACGAACCUCUAGUGUACCAGUUGUACCGCCAGGUGCACCGCUGGGUAGCUAUGUUCGGCAUGGAUAAGCGCUGAAAGCAUCUAAGCGCGAAGCCAACUCUAAGAUGAAUGUUCCACUCUCUGACGCUUGCGUUAGAGAAAAAGGGUCCCUGAAGACGACAGGGUUGAUAGGCUACAGGUGAAAGUGCAGUGAUGCAUUCAGCCGAGUAGUACUAAUUACCCAAAUGCUUCCUUUUU